GGCUGCGCAGGCGUCCCUUGCACCUUGUUGAUUAGUCAGUGCCGGGAGCGCUGCUAUGGCGUUCUUCGGACCCGCGGCUCCUCCUCACACUGUGCUCGAGGCGGAGGCUAGGAGAGGGCCGAGGAGGAGGAGGCGAGCGGCUGGCCGCCGCAAUUGCAGAGCCGGGGCCAAGGGAGACGGAGGCGGAGCGGGAGCCGCCGCAGCUAGCCGGGCCGCCUGUAGUGCUCUCCUGGCUUGAGGGCGCGGGGCGCCAGCCAUGCCUCGGUGUGGCUGCUGAAGCCGGGCGCCAGCGUCCCCGCCGCUGUGCCUCGCUGUCCGGCUGCCCGCGGCGGGAGUACGGAGUCCCCAGCCAGCCAGCGGUGGCGCGGGCGCCGGAGCGCGGGGCCGGAGGAGGCGGGGAAGAUGGACCCGUCGCCCUCGUUGGGCUGCAGCCUCAAGGAUGUGAAGUGGAGCCCAGUGGCUAUGCCGCUCGACCUGCUGGUCAGCACCUACCGGCUGCCCCAGAUCGCGCGGCUGGACAGCGGAGAGUGCGUGGAAGGGCUGCGGGAGAAUGACUACCUGCUGAUCCACUCGUGCCGCCAGUGGACCACCAUCACUGCCCACAGCCUGGAAGAAGGUCACUAUGUCAUUGGGCCAAAGAUAGAGAUCCCUGUACAUUAUGCAGGUGAGACCCCGCAGGACACGGGUGGGGUGGGGCCUGAAGAGCCGAUGUUGUUCUAUCCUUGCAGCAGGAACUCGAGAGAUGCCCACUUGAAAGAAUCAGACACUUCUGGGUCGUUAUGUUUUAACCCAUGGUGCCUCCAUUUUGUCAUAGAUAUUUGUAGUUACUGAAGCUGGGUGUUUCUAAGGUGACAUUUUUACUCGGAGAAUUCCUCCGUGGUCUUGAAACUGGAGCACUGUGUAUGGCCAGUCCCUGAGCUCCACAGUCUGGUGCCUGAGUACAGCCUGAGUGUCGCUCUCAUGAAUGACUGGGACGUACAACUCCACAAGGUGCCAUUUCACAAGUGCACAGCGUUCCCUGAGUUUAAAAGUAUCCGUUUAGAGGUUAAGGUGCCUGGGCUUGCCCCUCCCCCCAGUUAGUCUUUUAGGACAUAGCAGACCCUGACCUCAUUGUUCAGAUUAAGUUACUUUGAACUUCAUUCGGAUCCGGGAUGCCAUUGAACACAGUGUUGUGAAUCCUGUGGUCAGAACAAAACUUGUGCUCUAUUUGCUUCAAUAAACUUUCAGUAGGGUUAGAUUAUAAAUCGGUUUUUAAAACCAAAUGCAUCACCGUCUGCUAUCUUCUGGUUUUACAGUUUGUUAUAUAAGGUUAUUAACUUCUUAUCUGUUAUUCAACUUUUCUUAAAGUUAUAGCAGGAUAUCUUAUCCAGCCAACCAUAAACUGUGUGACUUGGGCUGCUGUGUUAGCUUUGGCAGACACAUCUCCAUUGCUUAGCAGACUAUUUGAAAACAGAAUUUACCAUGUUCUACAAAUAGUAGGCAAGUGGUUUUCAUGCAACCAGUAUCUAGUGAGUAAAACAUCCUUUGUGGCCUUUUUAAUUCUUAGAAUUCUUCAGCUGCUCACCAAACUUAAAAACAGGAGAAAAACCUUUCAGAAAUAUCAUAGGAAAGAGAACUCUUGUGCCCCACAAUUGGUUUUUCCUAAUUCUGCUAGCUACUUAGUUGCUUGAGUGGGCUUUAUGGUGGAACAUGAGUAGAGGAGCCUGGGGAAGGUGCUGUGUUGAUCAGACUAGAAGGCAGGCAACUGGGCAGCGCUCAUAGGAGUGGGGAAUUUACAAGCUGUCUGGGUCAUCCAGAUUCUCCUCAAAGAGGUUCCCACCCACAACAAGUCCGCUUUAUUUUCAGCAGGCUCAAACUCUGGUUUCUCUCUUUAUGAAAAACUAAGAAAUAAAUUGCUGCCGUGAAUGUUUUUACCAGGCUGUGUUCUGUUGAUGAACUCGAACUUUAGAAAUUUCUAUAAAACACGGUGAGCAUUUCUGUCAAACCAGUCUUCCCAGAAGGUCGUUCUCUCAAACCUCAAUGGAGACCCCUCCUGCCUAGACUUGGGCCUGCAGAGCUCUGCCUAUUUCUCCAAUCUUUAUCUUCUCUAACGAGGGGACAUUCUACUGUAGAAUGUCAGUCACCUCCCCCUGCUCAACCUCUGGCCUGCCUCUGGCCUGCCGCUCCUCCAGUGUGGAGUCCUGGAUUGGCUCUGGACGGCUGACUCCAUGCCACAUUCACUUGUCUUCAUUCCCUUGCUGCUUUCCCUGCUCACAAAUGCCUUCCUCACUCACCAGUUAAGUAAACAUUCCUUAACAAAUGAGAUGAAAAAUGUCUCUUGCUGGGCGGUGCCGGCACACGCCUUUAAACCCAGCAGUUAGGAGGCAGAGGCAGGUGGAUCUCAAGGCCAUGUGGAGUUCAAGGAUCUCAGGUGGAGUUCAAGGCCAUGUGGUCUACAGAGGGAAAUCCAGGACAGCCAGAGCUACACAGAGAAACCCUGUCUUGGAGACAACCCUGCCUCGUGUAUCUUUUCUAACAGUCUACAAUUGAACUUCUUUGUGGAAAUGGGUGUUCGGUCCAGGGAUCAAAGUCUUGGCUACACAGUGGGAUCAAAUAGCUUGUUCUGGAGAGACUGGUCGCUGAGUCCUAUCUGUACAAAUUCUCCUUCAGUUGGUCUCAAUGAUGGCCUAGGUCUAAAUGGUUGCAUGAGACUGGCAUCAGGAUUUCCACGGCUAAAAAUGCAAUUAAAGUUGGAGAAGGGCAUCCAGGGCCGAAUGGUAAGAUCCCCACCCCCAAACAACAGCAGACAUUACUAUUUUGAGCUUAUACUUUUAUAUUAAUGACUAUCCAUCUUCCACUGGGAAGAAAGGUGUGGCGUGUUCAGACACUUAUUCUCUGUAUGAGGAAUGAUGGAUGAUGCCUGCAAAGCCACUUGUUGCAAAGAUAUGGAUAAUGUUUAAUGAAACAGACUGCCAAGGCUAAAUUAAGGAGCGGGGACACUAAGGUCAUACCACUUUACAUUAACAUAUAGAAAACAAAUUAAAGAAAGAGACACCUGAUAUGAGACCAAGUGCCUCCUGAAGUCAUUUAUGG
rnacentral:lncRNA from 1 species